GCCUGACCUGGGUCUUUCUGUCGCACAUGCUCAGAUAGUGGCUGCUGGUGGGCCUCAGAGCCCACAUGCUGAACAGGACCUCUGGGAGGUCAUCUUGGGCCCAGGUCUCAUUUUCCAGAGCUGCAGAUGUCACUGGAAGGGACUGGUGUGCGGACUUCUCAAGAGCAAAGUGGUCUCCUAGGCAAAUCAGACCCGAAGUGCAGUUAACUGAGCAUGAAUGUCUGUGCUCUAGACGGUGUAAGACCCCUGAAUCAAAGAAAAACCGAAUCUGUAUGUAAGUAGUCACACGAAAGUGUGACUUAUUUCAUUUAUUUGUAGAAGUGACUCUCUGAUGAUGGUGACAGGAUCAGCCCAAGACCACAAACGCACUGGACCCAAGACCCAUGGACACAGCCAACA